CCCACUGAGCAAGGCCGGGGGUCAGACCCGCAACCUCAAGGAAACUAGUCAGGUUCUUAAGCUGAGUCACAACGGGAACUCCAAAAAUCAGUUUUUAGAUGGUUGGUUUCCAAACAUUCCAGGCGCUUUAGGAUAUUUGCUUUCAAACACCAGAGCAUAUCAGAAUCCCCAGGAGGGCUUGUUAAGAUUUAGAUUGCUGGUCCCACCUCCCCGCCAGAGUUCCUGAUUAAGCAGGUCUGGGGUGGGCCCUAAAAAUGUUCCGUUUUUAACGAGGUCCCAGGUGAUGCUGAUGGUGCUGGUUUUCGGGCCGCACUUUGAGAACCAUGGGAAAUAGAAACUGUGUUAGAAAAGGAAGACUGGAGGGCCCAUCCUCAGUGCCUGCCAAGCUGUGUGUGUGCAGCUUCAUCCCAGUGCAGAUGAUGGAUGGGGAGCACGAGCCUAUGUGCUGGCUGGUAGGAGGGCACAAAAGGAGAAGACAGAACCCCGAGGAAGCCUCGGGAUGGAAGGAGGCAGGGCCUGGGGCUAGGCAGCGGCAAGGUUGCCAGCAGCUGUGGAGAGGCGGGGGCUGGGGAGCCUUCACCCUUAUUUGAUCUCUGGCCCAGCUCCCAUCGCCCCCUGCAGCUCAGUGCUGACCUCUGCAAGACUGGAGCAAUAGCAAUGUUUGGACUGCUUGUAUUUGUUCAAAAAGCAGUCCUUUCAGAACAUCCAUGAUCCCCUUUUCAUCCCUCUAACAACAACAAAAUAUUUGGAAGCGGCAGGAAGAAAAUCACUCCGGAUUUGAGAGCCUUCAGCAGGGUCAUGUGCUCCAAGGCAUAGCCUCCACCACUCCCUGUAAUCUUGUCACCGAUUUUUCUCCACUCCUUUCUUUACCAGCUUAGGUGUCCUGAUGUGACACCUAGAACCAAGGAUCCCAUUUUAUGACCAAGACGGAAGCUGGCCCGGAAGCAAAACGGUCUCAAACAGCAGAGGGAAAGAUGGAAAGAACCUAGGACUUCAAUGAUUGUCUCGUGCUGCUGAAACAAGCCAACUCUGAGAGAGUCCAGCUUCUGGACGUCUUCCAUGAAAUGCAGCUUCUACAGGUCAUAAAAGGUGUAAAGAUGGGGCACACUGGCAGGGAUGGAUCCCUGGCCAGAGAGUCCGAAGCCCCUUCCACCCCCGCAGCUCUUCUCCAAAGGGAACACUCUGUUCCUUUCCUUGGGCGAACCAGACUCAGGCCCCUGCUGGUUCUUGAGUCAGCGGGGAGGCUGACCCAGCAGCCGCCUCCUGGCCAGAAACCAUGCAAGCAAGAAGAGAAUGGAGUGAAUGUUACAAGUUUUCAGAGAAAAAGCUACCAACCUAGAAGUCUGUACUCUGCAAAAUUAUCCUUGAGAAGUAACAGAGAAAAAGAAUUUCUCAGAGAAAAAAAAAAUUUGAGGAAAUUUGUUGCCAAAAGAACUGCCUUGGAAGAAAAGCUAAAAGAAGUUACAUAAAGAGAAGGAAAUUACCAUGGGUUGGAAACUCAGCUCUGCAUGAAGAAAGGAAGAGCAUUAAAGAAGGAAAAGUCAAGAUAGAAAUCUUCUAGGGAUGGCAUUUUCCUGAUACUGCAAAGUCGGUCGAUUGUCCAAAGACUUGCACUUUCGAAUCGGACUGAACUGGAAGGCACUAUUGCACCCUCAAGUCUGAAAGAUUUGAGUUCAAAUCCUGACUCUACAACUUGUGAGCUAUACGACCCGCUUCGUGACCUUCUCCAUACUUGGCUCACCUGGAAAUCGGUGGUAAUAACAGCACUGCCCUUCCUCCUAAGAUCGAGGAGAUGAUUAUGGGAGGUGAUGCCUACAUUGCUUAACGCAACAGCUGGCCCUCGGGACCUACCCGGAAGCGAUGUGACCCUGUGUCAAGAGGCACCGUGGAUGACGUGGUAGCCACACAUCAUAAAGGCAAUGCCAUCCUCAUUUUGGUGGAGGUGACAAGACUGUGACCUAUUUUAGCACCUCCUUCGGUCAUAAGCAAAGGAGGAAAGGAGACAAACGGAAACACAAUGCUUGAGUUUCUCAGGCCAGGUGACAAGAAUAACCAGGGCUGGACCUGAUCCUGUAAAGCCCUUCGAUUGCAUGCAAACUUCAGAGCAAACCCGCUAAGGAAUUUCAGUUCCCAGGUCUCCCCUGGCAGGCACACCUGGCACAGAGAUGGGUUCUUUGCGCAAAAGCCUUUCUGCCAAGCGACCAACUCAACCACCAUGGAGUGGUUCCUGGGAAAACAGCCGAGAUUCUGGAAUGGCAGGCUUGCUUGGGCACCAGAGGUGCAGGAAAAACAGACACUUGGCUUUCCAGGAAAGGAAAUCUCGGCCAAUUAGGAAAAUCUAAAACCAGAGAGGUAAGGCAGCCAAGGGCACAUCCCGUCUGGAAAGCUCAGGGUGGGGACAGGCACCAACCCGGGUGAGGGGUGGCUAACCUGUCUUGGUUCCCAGCCUGCCACUUUAUCUGAAGCCAUUUCCUGCUGCGCAUGGGGACAGCGUCCUACCACCACCAGGAAGACUGGCUUGUGUGUUUUAUCAUCGUCAUCAUUAAGGAUUUUUAAAUGAAAUUUGGGAUUCGAAAGUAAAUAGCCCUUGGGAUGGGGCGCUGCCUGGAGAGUAAGAGCGCUUUGGGAACAUUCUCUGCCAGCCUCCCCUGGCCCUCCCGCCUGCCCUUCCCCCUCAUCACUGUCCUUGGUGACCUACAUCUCCAACCAGAGGGGGUGUAGGACCAUCAAGGGGGCCUGCUCUGUCCCCGUUUCCGGCAGGCUCCUCAGGACAGCUUGGCUGGCAUCUUCCUGCUUCUGGGUUCAUUUUCUACCACUCCCUCCCACCCAAAAGAAUUGGUGGAUAUGGGGCAGGAGUGCGUUGUGAACAUCCUGAGACAGGGUCCUCUCUGGGGACCAGAGCCCCCUGUAAAAGCGCUAAGGGCAGCACUUCUCCCUGCUGCCCCGAACAAUUUCCUCGCAGUUUAAAUUUUCAUUUAAAGUCACCAUUUCCAGUCCUACUGACAAGUCUGCAGGGUCGGAAAGUGGCCUGGCUGGGAGCAGCAGCGCGGGCAGCAGGCAGCCAGGCCUGGCCGGUGUGUUGACAGCUGGGAGCCAUCCCGGCGGCCUGGGGACCAGUUCACGCUGCGAGAUCGGUUCCGCCCACCCUGACUGGGCCAGAGCUCCUGCCAUGCAGCUCCAGGCCCUCGCACUCAGGAGGCAUCUUCUCUGUCCUUCCCUCUGCAGCGUCAGCAGGCCUGGCUCUUCACCUCGCCUCCUCGAGGGAGCUCUGGAGAAUUUCCCCUCUAAUUUCAAAGAAAGCAUCUCCUACUCGGUCCCACUGUGACUGCCUUUAAAGACUAAAGCUACCCAGGGAGAUCAUUCGGCCAAAGGUCAGAGGGCUCAGCCCCAUGCUGGGCUCCCUGAUGCAAAAUAAGUGAGUCCACAGGCCCAUCUCGGGAGAAAUGGGACAGGAGGACCCCCUGGGUUGAGACCCCUCUUGCUCAUGGAUUCAAGUUCCCAUGUAUACUGGCAGCAGCCCAGGAGUGGAGUCUUUCCCCAGGAGGUGACAUUGGCAUUGCAUCUUGAAAAAGGAAGAGGCGCCAGGGGAGAGGGACAGCAUUUGUCAAAGGUCAGGAGACAGGCAUUGUGAGCCCUGGGGCUCUUUCUGGUUUGUGAAAAGCAGGAAGUCCCCUGAGCAGAGUCUGCAGAGAGGCCUGGAGCCAGACCAGGAAUGGCCUCCUGGGUAAAUGUUCAACAAGCAGCUGUGGGCCGAACUGGGCAAGUUGCUGACAUGUAAUAUCUGUACCAAUUUCCGUGGUGUAAAUACCUCCCUCCGUGGCAGGUUUCAAUCUACCAAUAGUUUGACUCGCAACUCACAAAAAUUCCUGGAGAUUUAACAGUCAGUUUGCAAACUGGCAAAGGCCAGCUCCAACAGCAAUGGUGCUUCACACAUCAGAUGUAACCCCCCCUCCCCGUCCCCACUCCCCCAUUCCCUGCCAAAGAAUCUCUACAAAGGCCUUGGGGAAGGGGCCCCAUUAAUUAACCCAGUCUCCCUCACCUCUCCUUGCCCAUAGCUGUUCCUUCUAUCUGCCUCAUGGACACAGGCGUGAAGCUCAGUCACUUUUCCUGGAGAUCCACAAAAAAAUGCUCCCUCACACAGCAUAGCCGCCCUGUGGAGGGGAGAAGGCCCACAUCACAACGAUGCUAAUGACAUCAAAUGUUAAACUGCCCAUUCUUAAAUUUCUCCUUAGCCAUUUCCAUCAUGCUGGGCUUUGGUUCCUGCCAUAGUUCUUUGUCCCCCUCUCUCCAAUCUUGACCGACUCCCUCUGUCCUUGACACGCCCCCCCCUUCCCCCAAGCCCUCCUAUCUAUCAAAGAGAGCAAUUUGGCCCUUUCUCCCCACCCCUGGCCCAGGCCUUCACUGCUUGGUGCAAAUCCAAGCCACCAAUGGCUAUUUCCAGUCCGAAGGACUUCUGGGCGUGGAGAGAAAUGUUGACCAUGAUUUAUAUCUAGUUUAAUGCCCAUUUAAUGUCCACUAAUCUUAUGAAAUUAUAGUUUAAAAUUAUGAAGAGAGUUUAUCAGCAUUCUUUUAAAUAUGCACACAUUGCUCAUAGCUACUGAAGUAAACAUUCAUUGUAAACAACAAUGUACCACCACACACCUGUCGGACGGACCAAAACCCAGAGCACGGACAGCACUGAUGCUGGGAGGAUGCGGAGCAACAGGAACGCUCAUUCAUCGUUGGUGGGAAUGUAAAAAAAUGGUGCAGCCAACAUUUCUCCCAGAGCUAAACACAGUCUUACCGUCCGAUCCAGCCGUCGCCAUCCACGGUCUUUACCUAAACGCGCUGAAACUCGCCCACACAAAAACCUGCACACAAAUAUCUAGAGCAGCUUUUUCAUAAUCACCAAAACUUGGGAGCAACCAGGGAGUCCUUCAGCUGGUGAAUGGACAAACUGAUACAGCCAGAAAAUGGAAUAUUAUUUAGAACUAAAAGGGAAGAAGAAGAAAAAAAAAAAAAAAAAAAAAGAGCUACCAAGCCAUGGAAAGACAUGGAGGAAGCUUAAAUGCAUGUUGCUAAGUGGGGAAAAAAAAGCCAGAUUAUAAAGUCUACAUGCUGUAUGAUUCCAACUGUAUGAAAAUCUGGAAAAGACAAAACUAUGGAGACAGAGGAAGGAACAGUGGUGGCCAGAGCCUCGGAGGGGGGGGGCGGGUGUCAUGCGGAAGGAUGAAUAGACUGAGCACAGAGGCUUCUAAGGGCAGUGAAAGUCCUCUGUAGGAUGCCACAGUGGUGGGUUCAUGUCAUUAUGUAUUUGUCCGAACCCCUGGAACGCACACCAUCCAGAGCGAACCCUAAUGUGAACGAGGGACUUUGGCUGAUGAUGCUGCAUCAGGGCAAGCUCACAGAUUGUAGUUCACGUACCUACCACUCUGGCGGGGGGAAUGUUGAUAGUGUGAGGCUUGUGUGUGGUUGGGGCACAGGGCGUAAAUGGGAAUUCUCUCACUUCCCACAGUUUUGCCGCAAACCCAAAACUGAUCUACAAAUAAAUUCUUUUCUUAAAAAUG